GCAAGACAACGGUACACCUACAGAACAGAGAGGAGAGAAAUCUGUGAGCCCGUCUUCUUAUGAGGAGCCUGCUUCCAGCCUAACUAACCCACUCACGUAACAAUGGAAUUAAUCCGCUCAUGAGACGCCGCUCUUGUGACCCUAUUCACUUGUGGAAGGUUCCACCUCUCAAUACCAUGACAAAGGCAAUUAAAUUUGAAGAUGAGUUUUGGAGGACAGAUGCAAAUCAUACCUCUUGAAUACCACCAUCCCAGUGGCCAAAGCUUCCACUACCACUACCAUGUGAAUGUGCCAUCAUCGCCCUGCCACGGAACCUAGAGGGUUUUGUAUAAGGUCAGCAUUUCUCUGGUAAAGUCACCAAGUAAUACAUUUUAGAAGGCACCGGUUUCACUCAAAUUUCCCACCUGAAAAGUCACCUCAAAUGGAUUUCCUCAUCUAUUCGCUCUCAUUUACCUGGACAUGUAAAUGCGACCCCAGAGUUUCAGGAAGCCACAAGUCAGUCUUGUAGAAGGCAUCUACUAGAAAAGGAUGCUCAACUGAAAAUUUCAAAUAUGUUUUCAUAUCACUGUGCAUGACUGCAUUCUCAUUUUCUACAAGAGAAUUUUAAGUGAGUGAUGUAACCAGAUACAGCUCUGUGAGAGCAAGUAGACCGGCUCACAGAAAUCAAACACACAAGGAGGUUUCCUAACCACCGCUGCUCUUUCCUGUCUGGCCUUAUGAAGAGUCAGGAUCCUGCCUCUGCAAACCGUGAAGCAGACCCGUACUCCAUGCACGCUGACUGGAAGAGGCCUUCCUGCCUUCAACAGUGCCCAUCCCCUUUCCAGACUCACUCCUACUGCUCUUUGGCACGCCAUCAUGCCCUUCCCUCAGUUGAAAUUUCCUUUGGGGAAGAUAUCUUAAGAAAAUUCAAGGUAUAACUCAAAAGUCUCAAAAUGCUGUCUAUCACAGCGACUUCUACAGUGAGCACAGAAACAACACAGUAAGGCAAAGAAAUGAAGGGUUACUGGCACAUUCAGCUGGCAGCUAGCACAACCUUCCUUAUCUUAAGCACAGAGGCUUUCCAACACCCUUGAAAAGGACAAAAGCAUUACCGUCCAAUUCCUAAUAAUCUUACAGAAAGAUCUG